rnacentral:rRNA from 1 species
GACGAACGCUGGCGGCGUGCUUAACACAUGCAAGUCGAACGGAAAGGCCCUGCUUUUGUGGGGUGCUCGAGUGGCGAACGGGUGAGUAACACGUGAGUAACCUUCCCUUGACUUUGGGAUAACUUCAGGAAACUGGGGCUAAUACCGGAUAGGAGCUCCUGCUGCAUGGUGGGGGUUGGAAAGUUUCGGCGGUUGGGGAUGGACUCGCGGCUUAUCAGCUUGUUGGUGGGGUAGUGGCUUACCAAGGCAUUGACGGGUAGCCGGCCUGAGAGGGUGACCGGCCACAUUGGGCCUGCGAUACGGCGCAGACUCCUACGGGAGGCAGCAGUGGGGAAUAUUGCACAAUGGGCGGAAGCCUGAUGCAGAAACGCCGCGUGCGGGAUGACGGCCUUCGGGGUGUAAACCGCUUUCGCCUGUGACGAAGCGAGAGUGACGGUAAUGGGUAAAGAAGCACCGGCUAACUACGUG